GACAGAGGUGCCGAGCGUUAGGCGGAAUCACUGGGCUUAAAGCGUGUGUAGGCGGAUCGUUAAGUAUCUUGUGAAAUCCCCCGGCUCAACCGGGGAACUGCUGGGUAUACUGGCGAUCUUGAGCAAUCUAGGGGCAGAUGGAACAAAUGGUGGAGCGGUGAAAUGCGUAGAUAUCAUUUGGAACGCCAAAGGUGAAAACAGUCUGCUGGGGAUUUGCUGACGCUGAGACACGAAAGCCAGGGGAGCGAACAGG
rnacentral:rRNA from 1 species